rnacentral:lncRNA from 1 species
UAGAAAGUUGGAUCCGUUGGACUCACAAACGACCGAAAUGUGAACCAAUAAAAUUUCUUUUUAAAACUUCUCAUGAAACUCAUAUGAAGAAAACACAAAAAGUCAUAGUGCGAAUUAUCUCUUUUUUAAUAAGCCGGAAGAUCCGGUUAACUACCCAAACUAAAAUUAAAGGAAAUAAGAGUAACAGAGUAUCAUGUGGUAGGCACGUGGAAAAUAAAUACAAGAAUUUCCCCCAAAAGACUUGCCAAGCUAAAGGCCAAAAUAUAAGACUCUCAGGGAGGGAGGCUCCACUGUAAUUUACUUAUGCAUUUCCAUAAAUCU